rnacentral:rRNA from 1 species
AUUGAACGCUGGCGGCAGGCCUAACAAAUGAAAGUCGAGCGAGCGGCGGACGGGUGAGUAAUGUAUGGGGACUGCCCGCUAGAGGGGGAUAACUACUGGAAACGGUAGCUAAUACCGCAUACUAUCGGAUAACCCAUAUGGGAUUAGCUAGUAGGUGGGGUAAUUGCUCACCUAGGCGACGAUCCCUAGCUGGUCUGAGAGGAUGAUCAGCCACACUGGGACUGAGACACGGCCCAGACUCCUACGGAGGCAGCAGUGGGGAAUAUUGCACAAUGGGCGCAAGCCUGAUGCAGCCAUGCCGCGUGUAUGAAGAAGGCCCUAGGGUUGUAAAGUACUUGCAGUCGGGAGGCGUUACCGACAGAAGAAGCACCGGCUAACUCCGUGCCAGCAGCCGCGGUAAUUC